UACGGGGGGAGCAAGCGUUGUUCGGAUUUACUGGGCGUAAAGGGCGCGUAGGCGGCGCAACAAGUCACUUGUGAAAUCUCCGGGCUCAACCCGGAGCGGCCAAGUGAUACUGUCGUGCUAGAGUGCGGAAGGGGCUACUGGAAUUCUCGGUGUAGCGGUGAAAUGCGUAGAUAUCGAGAGGAACACCUGCGGCGAAGGCGGGUAGCUGGGCCGACACUGACGCUGAUGCGCGAAAGCCAGGGGAGCGAACGGG
rnacentral:rRNA from 1 species